AAACCAUGAUGGGGCAGCUUCUAAGGAGAUCCUUGAAUCUUUCACAUGCUUCAAACAAUGUCUCGGACUUCCCUUUUUCGAAUACCGAAAUUUCUUGUCUAAAUUU